UAAUAGCUCACUAGUCGAGAGGUCCUGCGCCGAAAAUGUCCGGGGCUGAAACACGACACCGAAGCUUAGGAAUCACAUAGUGAUUGGUAGAGGAGCAUUCUUAAAACCGACGAAGCUGUACCGGAAGGAGCAGUGGAGGGAUAAGAAGAGAGAAUGCCGGAAUGAGUAGCGAGAGGAAGGUGGGAAUCCUUCCGGCCGAAUAUCUAAGGUUUCCAGAGUAAAGCUGAUCUGCUCUGGGUAAGUCGGGGCCUAAGGCGAGGUCGAAAGACGUAGUCGAUGGAUAACAGGUUGAAAUUCCUGUACUAUCCUGUAACAGAACUGUGGGGACACAGGCAGAGAGCGUGAGCCGGGAAUGGAAAGACCGGUACAAGCGAGGUAGGAGAAGAGUUGGCAAAUCCGCUCUUCAAUCUGAAGACGUGAUGUGGACCGAAAAGAAGUAGGGAAGCACGUGAGCUGACUGUCAAGAAAAGCCGCUAUUGUUUGCAGGAUACCCGUACCGUAAACCGACACAGGUGGAUGAGGAGAGAAUCCUAAGGCCGACGGGAGAAGCAUUGUUAAGGAACUCGGCAAAAUGACUCCGUAACUUCGGGAGAAGGAGUGCCAGUAAGAUGGCCGCAGAGAAUUGGCCCAAGCAACUGUUUAGCAAAAACACAGGUCUAUGCAAAACCGAAAGGUGAGGUAUAUGGGCUGACGCCUGCCCGGUGCUGGAAGGUUAAGGGGAGAGGUUAGCGCAAGCGAAGCUUUGAACUUAAGCCCCAGUAAACGGCGGCCGUAACUAUAACGGUCCUAAGGUAGCGAAAUUCCUUGUCGGGUAAGUUCCGACCCGCACGAAAGGCGUAAUGAUUUGAGCGCUGUCUCGACAAUGCACCCGGUGAAAUUGAAAUACCAGUGAAGAUGCUGGUUACCUGCGCCAGGACGGAAAGACCCCAUGGAGCUUUACUCCAGCUUGAUACUGGGAUUCGGUAUUGCAUGUACAGGAUAGGUGGGAGGCUAGGAAAUGGUAACGCCAGUUGCCAUGGAGCCGAUGUUGGGAUACCACCCUUGCAGUACUGGGUUUCUAACCAGCAGCCGUGAUCCGGCUGGGGGACAAUGUCAGGCGGGGAGUUUGACUGGGGCGGUCGCCUCCGAAAGGGUAUCG
rnacentral:rRNA from 1 species